rnacentral:rRNA from 1 species
ACGCACGCUGGCGGCGUGCUUAACACAUGCAAGUCGCACGGAAAGGCCCUGCUUUUGUGGGGUGCUCGAGUGGCGAACGGGUGAGUAACACGUGAGUAACCUGCCCUUGACUUUGGGAUAACUUCAGGAAACUGGGGCUAAUACCGGAUAGGAGCUCCUGCUGCAUGGUGGGGGUUGGAAAGUUUCGGCGGUUGGGGAUGGACUCGCGGCUUAUCAGCUUGUUUGUGGGGUAGUGGCUUACCAAGGCUUUGACGGGUAGCCGGCCUGAGAGGGUGACCGGCCACAUUGGGACUGAGAUACGGCCCAGACUCCUACGGGAGGCAGCAGUGGGGAAUAUUGCACAAUGGGCGGAAGCCUGAUGCAGCAACGCCGCGUGCGGGAUGACGGCCUUCGGGUUGUAAACCGCUUUCACCUGUGACGAAGCGUGAGUGACGGUAAUGGGUAAAGAAGCACCGGCUAACUACGUG